UACAGAGGGUGCGAGCGUUAAUCGGAAUUACUGGGCGUAAAGUGUGCGUAGGUGGCCGCGCAAGUCGAGUGUGAAAUCCCCGAGCUUAACUUGGGAAUUGCGCUCGAAACUACGUGGCUCGAGUGUGGCAGAGGAAGGUGGAAUUCCACGUGUAGCGGUGAAAUGCGUAGAGAUGUGGAGGAACACCGAUGGCGAAGGCAGCCUUCUGGGCCAACACUGACGCUGAUGCACGAAAGCGUGGGGAGCAAACAGG
rnacentral:rRNA from 1 species